rnacentral:rRNA from 1 species
UAUUGCGCAAUGGGGGAAACCCUGACGCAGCAACGCCGCGUGCAGGAAGAAGGUCUUCGGAUUGUAAACUGUUUUCGCCGGGGAAGAAGACAGUGACGGUACCCUGUGAGAAAUUCACGGCUAACUACGUGCCAGACGCCGCGGUAAUACGUAGGUGACAAGCGUUGUCCGGAUUUACUGGGUGUAAAGGGCGCGUAGGCGGGAUAGCAAGUCAGUCGUGAAAUGCCGAGGCUUAACCUCGGAGCUGCGAUUGAAACUGUUAUUCUUGAGUAUCGGAGAGGAAAGCGGAAUUCCUAGUGUAGCGGUGAAAUGCGUAGAUAUUAGGAGGAACACCAGUGGCGAAGGCGGCUUUCUGGACGACAACUGACGCUGAGGCGCGAAAGGGUGGGGAGCAA